UACGUAGGGCGCAAGCGUUGUCCGGAAUUAUUGGGCGUAAAGAGCUCGUAGGCGGUUUGUCGCGUCGGGAGUGAGAAUCCAGGGCUUAACUCUGGACUGGCUUCCGAUACGGGCAGACUAGAGGUAUGCAGGGGAGAACGGAAUUCCUGGUGUAGCGGUGAAAUGCGCAGAUAUCAGGAGGAACACCGGUGGCGAAGGCGGUUCUCUGGGCAUUACCUGACGCUGAGGAGCGAAAGUGUGGGGAGCGAACAGG
rnacentral:rRNA from 1 species